CAUAAAUGGUCCUAAAAUCAAAUGCUGAAAAAUAAAAUAUGAUGGAAACCCUAAAGCUAACUCCAAAUACAAAUUCUAAAAUUUAAAUUUUGGCUUACAAAUGUAAGCAUAAGGAAGAAAAACAAGGGACGGAUUUUCUCGGGCUGCGUCGGGUUAUUUUGUGUUCUCAGGCUUCUGGGCUACAAAGUUGAGGCCCGGGCCUGGCCCCAUUCGUGCGCUCUCUCUCUCUCUCUCACAGCAUCGCCUGCGUGUGCAUGUUCUACCGGCAGUUCGCCUCAACCGCGAGCUUAUGAGAGGAGAGCGACAUGGAUCGCACGGUUUGUUUGGCUCAAUUAAACCUCGUCAGGGCAAUGCCGUCGUCCAGCAUCACGCAUGUGGGUGUUGUCCAAGGGAUGAUAGUAGCAAUAAAAUAGAGCAUAGCAAUAAAAUAGAGCAGAUCAUGCUUUCUUUCACGCACACUGAGGGGG
rnacentral:lncRNA from 1 species